AAAUGAAUUGACGGGGGCCCGCACAAGCAGCGGAGCGUGUGGUUUAAUUCGAUGAUACGCGAAGAACCUUACCAGGGUUUGACAUACAAGUGGUAGAGAAAGGAAACUGGACCGACCCUUCGGGGAGCUUGAACAGGUGCUGCAUGGCUGUCGUCAGCUCGUGUCGUGAGAUGUUCGGUUAAGUCCGCUAACGAGCGCAACCCUUGUUGUGUGUUACAAGUAUCACGCAAGACCGCCGGUAGAAAGCCGGAGGAAGGUGGGGAUGACGUCAAGUCAGCAUGGCCUAUAUAUCCUGGGCUACACACACGCUACAAUGAUCGGUACAAUGGGUCGCGAAGCCGCGAGGCGGAGCCAAUCCUAAAAAGCCGGUCUCAGUGCAGAUUGCAGGCUGCAACUCGCCUGCAUGAAGAUGGAGUUGCUAGUAACCGCAGGUCAGCGAUACUGCGGUGAAUACGUUCCCGGGCCUUGUACACACCGCCCGU
rnacentral:rRNA from 1 species